rnacentral:rRNA from 1 species
ACGGCUCAGUAACACGUCGAUAAUCUGCCCUUAGGUCUGGGAUAACAUCGAGAAAUUGAUGCUAAACCCGGAUAGGAAAAAGGUACUGGAAUGUCCUUUUUUUUAAAAGCAAUGCCUAAGGAUGAGUCGGCGGCUGAUUAGGUAGUUGGUGAGGUAAUGGCUCACCAAGCCUAGGAUCAGUAGGGGGGAUGAGAGUCCUAGCCCCGAGAAGGGCACUGAGAUACUGGCCCUAGCCCUAAGGGGUGCAGCAGGCACGAAAACUUUGCAAUGCACGAAAGUGUGACAAGGGGAUCCCAAGUGCUUUGUCUUCGGAUAAAGCUUUUGUUAAGUCUAAAUAGCUUGACGAAUAAGUGGUGGGCAAGACGGGUGCCAGCCGCCGCGGUAACACCUGCGCCACAAGUGGCGAUCACAUUUAUUGGGUCUAAAGCGUUCGUAGCCGGUUUGGUAAAUCUCUUGUGAAAUUGUUUGGCUUAACCUCACAAAUGGCUUGAGAAACUGCCAAACUAGAGACUGGGAGGAGGUAGAGGUAUUCUAGGGGUAGCGGUAAAUGUUAUAAUCCCUGGAGGACCACCAGUGUUGAAGACGUCUACCUAGAACAGAUCUGACGGUGAGGAACGAAGGCCAGGGGAGCAAAACGGAUUAGAUACCCGAGUAGUCCUGGCAGUAAACUCUGUGAGCUAUGUGUUGCAUAAUCUUAGAGGUCAUGCAGUGCCUAAGCGAAGGCGUUAAGCUCACCACCUGGGAAGUAUAGUCGCAAGACCGAAACUUAAAGGAAUUGGCGGGGGAGCAC